rnacentral:lncRNA from 1 species
CCUCCCAAGAACACUGUGCCUUGGAGAACCAUGAUAUCAACACUGGGUAUGUGAGAACCUGGAGUACCACAAGUCAACUCUGUCUUCUGCAUCCUCCCCACCAGGCCCUGAACGGAAUGACCUGAGAAACAAUGGGGAAGGAACCUGCAUGUCCUUGCAGGAAUUAGUAGAUUCUCAAAGACUUUCCGGAAGCAACAAAGAACUUGAAGAAAGAUGCAUCUUCCUUCACUGGCACCACCCAAUCCCUUCAAUAAAAAAAAUCAAAAGAAAUCAAAAGGAGAGGAUAAAGACCUGCAUUAGAAUCACAUCUCCUCUACCUACCAGCCUUGUGAUUUUGGCAACAAACAGAUGGAGUUUAGGAUUGGUGAAUUCAAAUCAUCAAGCUCACAAACUGGGAGAAGAUGGACUGGGUCUAAGAACAGACUGCAUUGUUGAAGACAAAAUGAAAGGGUAA